GUCUCUGUACCGCAUUCGAUAGCGCGCGCGCGCGUUGGACUUCUAAUCCAAAGGUCGUGGGUUCGAAUCCCACCGGGGAUG